UGAUCUCAUCAGGUAAAGGUGUGUUAAAUGGAAGGGCAAGUCUCACCACUGAGAGGAAAACAUCACUGGUCCACCUCUGCAUCAGGUCAGCUAUGUUGAUCAGUACUGUCCCAGGGAUGCUGGGAGCAGAGAUGAACUCCCCUGACCUGGUACCAUCUAUGGAGUUGUCAUUUUAAUAUCAGUUUAACCCCAUUACUGCUAUAACACAUAAACCAUGUUAAUAGAAUGAAAUGGAUCCAGGUUCCAUUUAUUCUACAUUAGAUUUACUGCCUGUGGAACACUUCUCCAAAGUGGUCUGAAAUCAAGAUGACUGCAGGUCUGAAUCCCAAACUAAUGGGGGGAAAUGUAUCCAUCUAAUAAGAUGGUAUUUAGAGAUAUGGAGAAAAACAUCACAAACUCUACUAUUGGGGUGAACAAAUUCCAUUAACAUACAUACGGGGCAGUCAGAAACAUUUUGUUACGUUACAGCCUCAUUCUACAGUGGAUUAAAUAAAUCAUGUUCCUAUUCAAUCCACACACCAUACCCCAUAAUGACAUCACAAUACCCCAUAAUGACCUCACAAUACUCCAUAAUGACAUCACAAUACCCCAUAAUGACAUCACAAUACCCCAUAAUGACCUCACAAUACUCCAUAAUGACAUCACAAUACUCCAUAAUGACAUCACAAUACUCCAUAAUGACAUCACAAUACUCCAUAAUGACGUCACAAUAUCUCAUAAUGACAAAGCGAAAACAUGUUUAUUUUUAUUUUUUUUUGCAAAUGAUUAACCGAAAUACCUUAUAUAAGUAUUCAGAACCUUUGCUAUGAGACGUGAGAUUGAGCUCCGGUGCAUCCUGUUUCCAUUGAUCAUCCUUUUAGAUGUUUCUACAACAGGAUUGGAGUCCACCUGUGGUAAAUUCAAUUGAUAGGACAUGAUUUGGAAAAGCACACACCUGUCUGUAUAAGGUCCCACAGUUGACAGGUCAUGUCAGAGAAAAAUACCUCCCUGACCAAGGCCCUUCUCCCCCCAUUGCUCAGUUUGGCCAGACGCCCAGCUCUAGGAAGAGUCUUGGUGGUUACAAACCUCUUCCAUUUAAGAAUUAUGGCCAUUGUGGUCUUGGGGACAUUCCAUACCGAAAACAUUUAAUGGUACCCUUCCGCAGAUUGGUGCCUUGACACAAUCCUGUCUCGGAGCUCUACAGACAAUUCCUUCGACCUCAUGGCUUGGUGAUGAAACAAAGAUUGAACUCUUUGGCCUGAAUGCCAAGAGUCACAUCUGGUGGAAACCUGGCACCAUCCCUACGGUGAAGCAUGGUGGUGCAGCAUCAUGCUGUGGGGACGUUUUUUAGUGGCAGGGACUGGGAGACUAGUCAGGAUUGAGGGAAUGAUGAACAGAGCAAAGUACAGAGAGAUCCUUGAUGAAAACCUGCUCCAGAGCACUCAGGAACUCUGACUGGGGUGAAGGUUCACCUUCCAACAGGACAAUGACCCUAAGCACACAGCCAAGACAAUGCAGGAGUGGCUUCGGUACAAGUCUCUGAAUAUCCUUGAGAGGCCCAGCCAGAGCCCGGACUUGAACACGAUCUGACGAUCCACUGAAUCCUCAGAAUUGAGUCAUGUUGGGGAUGGAUGAUCUUUGACAUCGUUCAGUAAUUGAGUCAUGUAGGGGAUUGAUGAUCUUUGACAUCGUUCAGUAAUUGAGUCAUGUAGGGGAUUGAUGAUCUUUGACAUCUUUCAGUAAUUGAGUCAUGUAGGGGAUGGAUGAUCUUUGACAUCUUUCAGUAAUUGAGUCAUGUAGGGGAUGGAUGAUCUUUGACAUCUUUCAGUAAUUGAGUCAUGUUGGGGAUGGAUGAUCUUUGACAUCUUUCAGUAAUUGAGUCAUGUAGGGGAUGGAUGAUCUUUGACAUCGUUCAGUUCUUUCUCUGACGGGUCUGAGUUUGUGUGAGUGGCGUGUUUUUCUUUCAGAGUUUGUGAUGAUUGGUUGUGGUAGAAGGUUCCUGUUGUCAGACUGGAGGAACUGAUGGUCAACUGGAGGCUGUUGGGUUCUUCUCUCAAUCAGGGGUCAGAGGUUGAGGGUUCAGUGUGCUGAUGUGUAGUUGUUGUAUCAUGGUUUUUGGUUAACAUGUCCUGUUGCUGGGUAAAGUUCAUGAUGACGUUGAACACAUCUUUAUCAAGGGUGCCAAUACUUCUGGACCUAACUGCACACUGUAGUGGUGGGGCAGCAUGCAUCACAUGUCUCCAUGACCCUGUGGGCUGAACCCUCAAUGCUGCAGAGGCCCUAUGCUCCUCUAGGAGGUUGUUGAGGCCCUAUGCUCCUCUAGGAGGUUGUUGAGGCCCUAUGCUCCUCUAGGAGGUUGUUGAGGCCCUAUGCUCCUUUAGGAGGUUGUUGAGGCCCUAUGCUCCUCUAGGAGGCUGUUGAGGUCCUCUGCUCCUCUAGGAGGUUGUUGAGGUCCUAUGCUCCUCUAGGAGGUUGUUGAGGCCCUAUGCUCCUCUAGGAGGUUGUUGAGGUCCUCUGCUCCUCUAGGAACUAAAAGAGAAGUAAGUCAUAUGUCACCACCACCCAAUAUGACUUCAUACAUCUCCAGCUUAUUGAAAUUACAGCCUGAAAACUCAGUGUCUUUUUUCCCUUCAUGUUCCUGUACUCACUCAGGUUGUACCAUUGAUAUAAAAAGCAUUUGACACAACUGUUGUGUUAAAUGGGUUGUACAACCCGAGAGGGUAUGUGGACAAUAUGUGUUUGUUUUCAGGUUGAAGUUGUCCCCCAUCCAGCCCUCCUCUAGAGGAGUGAGGAGAAUGAUAUCAACUCAUGUGUUUCCAGGUUACUUCAGUAUGAUCCUAUGAACCAAUCUGAAGUCAGAUGGGGCUUCUACAUGAAACAGGACAUUUCAUUGAUAGGACCGUGGGAAAGGUGGGUCUCCAUCAACCAUGUUAGAAACUGAUUGACAUCAUCAACCAUAUUAACAAGUGUGUGAACAUAUUCAUAUUCAGUAUGGAAAAGUACCUGAGGAAAUAAAACACAUUUUAUGAAACCCAUGAGAGAUAUAUUUAUAAUGUAUAUUUAUCCUUCAAAGAGCGACUACUUUGUGAGGUUCAGCCUUUCGUUGGUGAAUGUUCUCAGAAAGGGGGACAUUGGGGAAUCUGAAUAGAUAAGACCUGACAAAAUACUACCUCUAUGUCCUGUGUUCUACAUCCUGGGUAUUACUGUCAUCACCACAGCAGAUAACUGUGUUCUACAUCCUGGGUAUUACUGUCAUCACCUCAGCAGAUAGAUAACUGUGUUCUACAUCCUGGGUAUUACUGUCAUCACCACAGCAGCUAAAUAACUGUGUUCUACAUCCUGGGUAUUACUGUCAUCACCACAGCAGCUAGAUAACUGUGUUUUACAUCCUGUAUUAAUGUCAUCACCACAGCAGCUAGAUAACUGUGUUCUACAUCCUGGGUAUUACUGUCAUCACCACAGCAGCUAAAUAACUGUGUUCUACAUCCUGGGUAUUACUGUCAUCACCACAGCAGAUAGAUAACUGUGUUCUACAUCCUGGGUAUUACUGUCAUCACCACAGCAGCUAGAUAACUGUGUUUUACAUCCUGGGUAUUAAUGUCAUCACCACAGCAGCUAGAUAACUGUGUUCUACAUCCUGGGUAUUACUGUCAUCACCACAGCAGCUAAAUAACUGUGUUCUACAUCCUGGGUAUUACUGUCAUCACCACAGCAGAUAGAUAACUGUGUUCUACAUCCUGGGUAUUACUGUCAUCACCACAGCAGCUAGAUAACUGUGUUUUACAUCCUGGGUAUUAAUGUCAUCACCACAGCAGCUAGAUAACUGUGUUCUACAUCCUGGGUAUUACUGUCAUCACCACAGCAGAUAGAUAACUGUUGAUGUAAGACUCCAAGCCAAACAUACUGCAAACCAACCAUUUUGAAUUGCAGGUUUAUUCACAGGGUCCCAGUCAUCAUGUGACUCUCUAAUGGAUUCCAAUGAAAACCUUGUAGACUGAUAUAGGACACUUUUAUCCAAAGGUGAAUGUCUUUAAACUGCAUUGUUCUCAUGAUGUGUGUGUAGCAGUGUGAUGUUGUUCCACUAGAUUACACACCAAGUUGCACACAAGGACCAGUUCAAAUAGGUCAAGAGGGGAUGUUAAUUAGUUUGAUAAUAAUAAUAAUUCAGUGUGUUUUUUUAUUUAAUUACAGCUGCAUAGAUAAUGUUAUUUUUUGGUGUACAAACACUUUUUCAUAUCUAUAUAAUAAAUACACUUGAUUGUAAAAGUGUUGUAUAUUUUGGUUUGGUCCAUCGCGGGUUUCUGUAUUUCUGUUCGCCCUUAUUGUUCUCUCUUGCCUGACCUUUGUUGGAUUCUGUAUUUUACAUUAUAGCCAUUAGCAUAUAUAGGAUUAAAUAUGAUCUGAUGUUGGUUGUGUGAGGUGUCUGCAUUUGUGCACUGGAGCAUCAUUAUGAGAUUAAACAACUGCUUGCUACUUGCCUGUUUGUGUGUGACAAGAACUGAGUAACAUGGUGUGACCUGCAUGUUGCAAAACUGUAGAUAACAGCCCAGCAGAUGCUUUGUCCUUGUGUUUGUAUGUAACAAUAUUGAGCACAUGGUGUGACUUGCUGUAACUUACAAAGUUGUGAUAGGGAGGGGUGGUCAUCACGAGGUUUAACUGAGAUGGAAAAAUACUGAACAACACAAUAGCAGGAACUGAGCAACUGUUCUAACUAGGCUGCGAUACCAGAACAGUAAGGAUCUAUACAUCGACGGAGGGAGGAAGAAGCGCCAAGAGGCGGGGACCAGCCUGAGCGCCUGCGAUAGGCUGGGCAAGUUUAAACCACGCCCAGUCUCUACUGUGAUAGGCCAACAGACGGGUUGGAACUAUGUCUAUCAUAAUGUGUAUAAGAACACUGUCUACGUACAUCCUGUCAGUUCUCUGUUCUGCCCUGCGUGGUAUUACAGUGAGCCCGUAUAUACGAAAGUUGCAUUUGCCAUUUAUUACUUAGCUAAUAAAAAAUACAUAGUAUAAAA
ensembl:lncRNA